GAUGAACGCUGGCGGUAUGCCUAACACAUGCAAGUCGUACGAGAGUUUUCGGACUCUAGUGGCGGACGGGUGAGUAACACGUGAGAAUUUGCCUUUAGGAGGGGGAUAACAAUUGGAAACGAAUGCUAAUACCCCAUAUGCUUUCAAGUGAAACGGAUUUAUCCGCCUAAAGAGAAGCUCGCGGCUGAUUAGCUUGUUGGUAAGGUAAGAGCUUACCAAGGCGACGAUCAGUAUCUGGUUUGAGAGGACGAUCAGACACACUGGAACUGAGACACGGUCCAGACUCCUACGGGAGGCAGCAGUGGGGAAUUUUCCGCAAUGGGCGAAAGCCUGAACCAGCCAUGCCGCGUGCAGGAUGACAGCCCUAUGGGUCGUAAACUGCUUUUAUAAGAGAAGAAACCUUUGGACGUGUCCGAAGCUGACGGUACCUU
rnacentral:rRNA from 1 species